GCUCCUAAACCCAACCUCGUAUCGCCUCCUGCGAGUAGCUUCCAGGUGUCCACAGGGAGCCCGGGGUCAUGCUGGCAUCAUUCAUUCUCCACGCAUCAGAUGAUCCUGUGGCCCCUCAGUGCCAGGCCCCACUGGCCCUCUGCGCACAUCAGUGACUCUGAUGUUCUCCCCCACCGCAUGCUGCCAAUCUGAUGGUGGAGACAGAACAGCAGUCCCGGAUGGUGGAGGCAAUGCCCAGAGCUGUGGCAGCCACCUUGCAGCCGUGAAGCACCAGUGGGAAUGACAGUCAAGAGAACCACGGAGAUGCCAGCCCCUGGACCCACAGCAGCAGCACCUGCUUCCAGACUCAGAGUUUUCCUGCGGCUGUCUGCACACCCAGACCAGAGCAGUUCCUGCCUUUGCGCUUUGCACCAUUUUCCUUGGUGAACUUCUAUUCAUCCUUCAAAGCCCAGCAGUAAUCAUCCUUUAGAAAGUCUUCUUUCAGAGGGAACCAAAAAGGUAAUCGCUGGAGACAGACAGAUGCUGCCUGAAUGCCUGUUGUGUUGUGUGGUUGUGGGAAUGUUACUUCACCUCUCCGUGCCUCAGUUUCCUCAGCUGUAAUGGGGAUGGUAACAGUGUCUAGGGGUACUGCUUGGAAUGCACAUAGGGAGAUGAGUGAAGGCCCAGCACUAGAAGAGUGCAGGCACUAGCAGAGUGCAGGCGCAAUUGCUGCUGGGACCAGCAGGUAACUCGCAUCCAAGUUACAGUGCCCAGCCCCAGCAGCAGCCUCAGCACCAGGCAGAGUGUGCUCAGCACUGUGGGGGGCCAAGAGGACUUGAGGGCCGCUGGUCUGUGAUUCUCUCAUCUCUUUUGAGGUUCAGGACUUGGCGUCUCUCCUAGAAGCUCUGGGGAACCUGACAAAUCCUCCAGGAGGACACAGAACGCAGGAAGGGCUGGCUCGGGGUGCACCAAGAUGGCUGCCCCGAGACACCGUAUCUGAGGGCUUGGGUGGAACUGAGGAGAGGGCGGCUGGGAAGGCCAUCCGGGAGGAAAGGGCAGACGGCUACGGCAGCGUCAGGUGGUACAGUUUGCCCCGGAAGUGAGGUAAAGAAGAGAGCGGGAGGAGAGAGGGCCACAUGCCUCUCAGCCAUGGCCCUGAAUGCUGGCUUGGCUGAGCCUCAUCUUUGCUGUUUGCAGAAUGGGGAGAAUUGUGCCUGCCCAGCCUCCUCCUUGGGGACUCCAGGGGCCCAAAGAACCAAGAGCUGCAAAUGUCCUGGUGGCCUUGGAAGUUUAUGGAUGGUACAGAUCUGGGGUGGAGGGCAUGGCCAGGACAGGGAGGGCUGUCAGAGAGAGGGUCUGUGGGUUUGUGGAGUGUGGGGAUCAGUCGCUGACUCAUUAGAUGAACCAGGAGCCUGCAUGCUACAGCCCACCUGCCAAAUCUUGCCCCCACCUGCUUUUUAAAAUAAAGUUUUAUUGGAAC
rnacentral:lncRNA from 1 species